AUUGCUUCAUGCGACCAUACGCAAGCGGU
rnacentral:sRNA from 1 species